rnacentral:rRNA from 1 species
CUACGGGACGCAGCAGUGGGGAAUAUUGGACAAUGGGGGAAACCCUGAUCCAGCAAUGCCGCGUGUGUGAAGAAGGCCUGCGGGUUGUAAAGCACUUUCGGUUGGGAGGACUGCUUCUAGCACUAAUAUUGUUGGAAGUUGACGUUACCUUCAGAAGAAGCACCGGCUAACUCCGUGCCAGCAGCCGCGGUAAUACGGAGGGUGCAUGCGUUAAUCUGAAUUACUGGGCGUAAAGCGCGCGUAGGCGGCUAGAUCAGUCGGGUGUGAAAGCCCCGGGCUUAACCUGGGAACUGCAUCCGAUACUGGCUAGCUUGAGUACAGGAGAGGAGAGUGGAAUUCCACAUGUAGCGGUGAAAUGCGUAGAUAUGUGGAGGAACACCAAUGGCGAAGGCAGCUCUCUGGCCUGAUACUGACGCUGAGGUGCGAAAGCGUGGGGAGCAAACAGGAUUAGAUACCCGUGUAGUC